GGGUAACCUGCCUGUAAGACUGGGAUAACUCCGGRAAACCGGGGCUAAUACCGGAUGGUUGUUUGAACCGCAUGGUUCAAACAUAAAAGGUGGCUUCGGCUACCACUUACAGAUGGACCCGCGGCGCAUUAGCUAGUUGGUGAGGUAACGGCUCACCAAGGCAACGAUGCGUAGCCGACCUGAGAGGGUGAUCGGCCACACUGGGACUGAGACACGGCCCAGACUCCUACGGGAGGCAGCAGUAGGGAAUCUUCCGCAAUGGACGAAAGUCUGACGGAGCAACGCCGCGUGAGUGAUGAAGGUUUUCGGAUCGUAAAGCUCUGUUGUUAGGGAAGAACAAGUACCGUUCGAAUAGGGCGGUACCUUGACGGUACCUAACCAGAAAGCCACGGCUAACUACGUGCCAGCAGCCGCGGUAAUACGUAGGUGGCAAGCGUUGUCCGGAAUUAUUGGGCGUAAAGGGCUCGCAGGCGGUUUCUUAAGUCUGAUGUGAAAGCCCCCGGCUCAACCGGGGAGGGUCAUUGGAAACUGGGGAACUUGAGUGCAGAAGAGGAGAGUGGAAUUCCACGUGUAGCGGUGAAAUGCGUAGAGAUGUGGAGGAACACCAGUGGCGAAGGCGACUCUCUGGUCUGUAACUGACGCUGAGGAGC
rnacentral:rRNA from 2 species